rnacentral:rRNA from 1 species
GACGUAGGGCGCGAGCGUUGUCCGGAUUUAUUGGGCGGAAAGAGCGUGUAGGCGGCUAGAUAGGUCCGUUGUGAAAACUCGAGGCUCAACCUCGAGACGCCGGUGGAAACCAUCUAGCUAGAGUCCGGAAGAGGAGAGUGGAAUUCCUGGUGUAGCGGUGAAAUGCGCAGAUAUCAGGAAGAACACCCGUGGCGAAGGCGGCUCUCUGGUACGUGACUGACGCUGAGACGCGAAAGCGUGGGGAGCGAACAGG